AAGACAUUAGUAAAAUGUAAACUACAUCACCUUGUCAAGGUGAAAAUGCAGGUUAAACCCCUGCAUGUCUUA
rnacentral:tRNA from 1 species